UACAGAGGUCUCAAGCGUUUGUUCGGAUUCAUUGGGCGUAAAGGGUGCGUAGGCGGCGCGGUAAGUCGGGUGUGAAAUCUCGGAGCUUAACUCCGAACUGCAUUCGAUACUGCCGUGCUUGAGGACUGGAGAGGAGACUGGAAUUUACGGUGUAGCGGUGAAAUGCGUAGAUAUCGUAAGGAAGACCAGUGGCGAAGGCGGGUCUCUGGACAGUUCCUGACGCUGAGGCACGGAAGGUCAGGGGAGCAAACGGG
rnacentral:rRNA from 1 species